AUGACAUGUUGAUCGGGUCGUUAAAAAGCAUUAAGAGUCAUUAAAUAGAUUCUGCCAAAAUGAAGCCCUUGAAUGGCAUUAAAAAGCAUUAAAUUUGAUGUCCAGAGGAUUUACAAAAUUAUAUACACUUGAUGGAAAAAAGAA